rnacentral:lncRNA from 13 species
GAAUAAUAUCUGCUUAUUGAUUCGUGAUAAGGAGGUCACUGGUACCUUAAAAUUAGGUGUGGGGAAAAAAAGAAACGUAACAGAAAUGGAGAUGAAGAUAGCCACGUUCUGCUUGAUGAAACCUUCAGAAGAUGACAUUCAGCCUCCAGCGAGUCCUCAAACCUACAAGUUAUAUGUCCCUACCAGUCUGUGGCUUUAGCGGCUCCUCCUGCAGGUAAGCAGAUCUCAGCUGUGACUCCAACUACUCGUCUGUCUUCUUAGAUUUUAAGGUAGCAGCAUAACUUUUGUUGUAAAGAUGACAUCGAUGAUUUCUAAGCUCAAUACAUAUUGGAGCUGAAACUGAACAUCUGUUUAACUUUCGAAAAAGUGCC